rnacentral:rRNA from 1 species
GGGUGAGUAACACGUGGAUAACCUACCUAUAAGACUGGGAUAACUUCGGGAAACCGGAGCUAAUACCGGAUAAUAUUUUGAACCGCAUGGUUCAAAAGUGAAAGACGGUCUUGCUGUCACUUAUAGAUGGAUCCGCGCUGCAUUAGCUAGUUGGUAAGGUAACGGCUUACCAAGACAACGAUGCAUAGCCGACCUGAGAGGGUGAUCGGCCACACUGGAACUGAGACACGGUCCAG